rnacentral:rRNA from 1 species
CGGAGGAUGCAAGCGUUAUCCGGAACUAUUGGGCGUAAAGCGUCCGCAGGUGGUUAUCCAAGUCUGCUGUUAAAGCGCGAGGCUUAACUUCGUACAGGCAGUGGAAACUGGGUGACUGGAGUAUGGUAGGGGUAGCGGGAAUUCCCAGUGUAGCGGUGAAAUGCGUAGAUAUUGGGAAGAACACCAGCGGCGAAAGCGCGCUACUGGGCCAUUACUGACACUCAUGGACGAAAGCUAGGGGAGCGAAAGGG